GUAAUCAUUUGUGGGAACACCGAGUGAAUUAUUCGCCGCUAAAUGUUCGUCCUGUUGACUCAGUACUUUAUCAGAGCGAUCUGUCGGCCACGUCACAGAGCAGGUAAUCUGCUUAAAGAUUUUUAAAUCUUUAGAAAGAUUUGACUUAAUUUAAGUGGUGUUCCCACUAAUUAUUACAUAUACAUUGGGUUUUCGGUCUUAUGACCCAUGGAAACAUUCAAAGAAUUUUACUUUUUUCAUCAGAUACCACUGUGUCGGGCAAAUUGCAUACCACGACUACAGCAACCCUAGAUGGACUCCUGGCCACUUUAUUCUGUUCAGCAAAAGCUGUUUUGGUGUUCUCUGGAUCGAACUUUCCUCUCUAAGUGUCUACAGCCGUGUGGAAAACUGACUUCAGUUGGUCUUUCGUCGUCUGUGUUUGUGGAGCUGUAGAGCAUGGUAACUAUGGAAAUUUAAAAGAUUCUAUGUAUUCAUGACAUAGUAUUUACAGUAACGUCGAAAAAUAUCAAUAUACAUUUAUUAGACCUAACCAAGGGCAGUCGCGAAAACUGCAACUAUGGUCUCUCUGGCUGGAAUCGAACGUGCGACCCUAAAUGAUGAUGGUUUGCAAACCAAAGGGAGGUGUACUCCCAUUAUAUGAUGUACGGAUAUGUGCUGGGAUAUAGCGUAUGGUUUGAACUCUAGGUUUGGGACGGGGUAUAGAAAGUAUGUAUUUCGGUCUGAAAUAGGAUACCUAUUUGUCAUUAUAUCGUAGAUAAUGGUAUCAAAUAACAAGCACAGAUUUGCGAUGUAGGGUAUGGAAAAUCGUCUUUUUGUUUGGGAUAAGGUUUUCAUGUUACGGCGGACAUACCAUGCAUCCAAAAAUCGCCAGAGUACAAGAAAAAGUGAGGAGCUACGGUUCCCUUGAGGAUAGCUCUGUGGCAGUGAAAUCGAAAAACCUGCAUCAUUCCUCUGGCUCUCAUGGAUAAGCAUAAAGUAGUCGCGAGAAUAUGUUUCGCACUUAAGGUGGCUCCCUACAGUUGUGAAGAAACAGUAGCGAAAAAUAAGGUCUACACAAAGACGCAAAAUAUUACCUAUUUA